UACGAAGGGUGCUAGCGUUGUUCGGAAUCACUGGGCGUAAAGCGCGCGUAGGCGGCGAUACAAGUCAGAGGUGAAAUCCCACAGCUUAACUGUGGAACUGCCUUUGAAACUGUAUCGCUAGAGUGUCGGAGGGGAUGGCGGAAUUCCUAAUGUAGAGGUGAAAUUCGUAGAUAUUAGGAGGAACACCGGUGGCGAAGGCGGCCAUCUGGACGACAACUGACGCUGAGGUGCGAAAGCGUGGGGAGCAAACAGG
rnacentral:rRNA from 1 species